rnacentral:rRNA from 1 species
CCAAACGAAAGUUUGGCUAAUACCGCGUAAGCUCCAAGGAGGAAAGUAGGGGACCUAAAUAAGGCCUUACGCUAUUUGAUCGGCCGAUGUCGGAUCAGCUAGUUGGUGGGGUAAUGGCUCACCAAGGCAAUGAUCCGUAGCGGGUCUGAGAGGACGAUCCGCCACACUGGGACUGAGACACGGCCCAG